GGCUUACAACCGGGGCUUUCAAAGGGGCUUGAGGGGGGGGGGAUUGCACAACUAGCAAUCCUAACCAAGCCAGCCUAUGGGUCAUUUUUCUCUCUCUAGCAACCCCACAGCUGCAGGGAGAAUAAGCAAACACAGCGGCGGGGCAGAAAGGCGACUGCGGUCGAGGCGUGCGAUUUAUUCAUCUGGCACGUGCGGAGGGGCCGGGGCCGGAUCAGCUGUAUUUGUUUAAUGAAAGGGGGCAAAGAGAAAGGAGUGUCAUCUUCCUUGGAGGCAAAUUCAGUGGAAGCAGGUUACUUACUGAUUGGGUUUUUCAAUAGAAGUUCUAAAGAUGCCAAGAACCUAAAGAGAAGAGUCUCUGCGUAACCUUUUCAUUUACAGAAUGAAGUCAAAGAAGAACAUCUGGUAUUGGAGGAUUACACCAUAUUGGAUUGCAUUCCAUUCCACCAAACAACUCCGGAAUAAAGUCACUUUUUGCGUAA